rnacentral:lncRNA from 1 species
UUUUCUCUUCUUGCAACUCUAAUUUUGAAACUAACCAACCAAUCAGACACACCGAGUGACUCACUCACCCUUUCAUUACAUUUUCACACAUAACAAAACCAACUCACUGCUCUUCUCUCGAGAAACCCCGACCCGGAAAAUGCGAGCCAAAUCGGAGCCCGCGGCCCAGCCUCCCUCCUCCUCCGCCUCCGGUGGCGCUUCCUCCGCCGCGUCGCUGGAUCCGAUCUUCCACCUCCUCCGGGUUCUGCCAUUCAGCUUCCUCCGCCCCCCGCGGCUCCGCCUCAAACUCCCCUCCCUGACCCUCCCCUCCCCCAACGCCGUCUUCGCCCUCCUCCUCCUCACCUAUUUCAUGGUCGUCUCCGGCAUCGUUUACGACAUCAUUGUGGAACCUCCCGGCAUCGGCUCCACGCAGGACCCCUACACCGGCUCUGUGCGCCCCGUCGUCUUCAUGUCCGGCCGCGUCAACGGGCAGUACAUCAUUGAAGGCCUCUCCUCUGGCUUCAUGUUCGUGCUCGGCGGCAUCGGCAUCAUUCUCCUUGAUCUCGCGCUUGAUCGCAACCGCCCGAAGUCCGUCAAGGUCUCCUACGCCUCCGCCGGCGUCUCCUCCGUCGUCCUUGCCUACGUUAUGAGCAUGCUCUUCAUCCGCAUUAAGAUCCCCGCCUAUCUCAGAUGAACUCGUGCGCUUUAAGUCAUUUGUAGUUUCACUUUUGAUGAGGUUUCGUUUUCGCGCUUUCUAGGGUUGAUGGAAUUACAUGGAUAUGGUAAUUGGAUCUGAUUUGGUGUUAUUUAUAUGAAAUGUACUUUUUGGAGUAAAAUUAUUGUGUCACAGCUGAGUUUUCUUGUUUGUUUGACGUGCUCUCUGAAUGUGAUUUGUGCGUGUUGUUCGGAUCGCGGUUAGUGUUAAUUGUGUUAAUUCUGGAUUGAAGCAUGUUUGUUUAAGGGCAAUCGUGUUAGGUGAACUGCCUCGUUCUUAUACAUUUAAACACUCUACUUAGUGUUUGGAUGUUUUCUUCAUUAUUACUAUUAGAGUCUGUUAGAUUAGGGAUUGCAGACAAUUCUAGGAGAACAAAACUUGACAUUGAAAAUGGAAGUAGCGAUUCCAUUAUGGAUUGGCUGAUUGUGUUGUGUGUGUGAGCUUUAUCUAUACUUUUCUUUUUUAGUUGUUGUGGGAUGAUCUUGCUCUUCGUCUUGUUGAUAUGAUGUGUGUGACCCUCUGUUUUGUGAUUGGCUGUCCUGCAUUCUUCUUGCUUCAAUUACUUAGAACAAUAGUGGCCUGUGUUGUUGACAGCUACAAACCCACAAUAGGCCUCUCUUGUACCAAGUAAAUCUUCACUCCUUUUUCUGUAACACUAUACUAGAAUCCAGGUACUUCAAACAGCAAUUUAUGUCUUUGUUGUUUUUUUGAACAUUAGACUUGUUUACUUGUUUAGAUGAACUUCUCUAUAAAUACUUUUUUAGGAGAAGAAAAUAAGAAAAAGAAAAUGAAAUAAGUUUUUCUAAGAACUAAAACUAGUCUAUAAUAAGCUAAAAAUCGUAUUAGUGAAACUAAUAUGAGAAAAGUUUUACAAAUUAAUUUAUGCACAAGAUGAUUUAACUUAAGAAAAAUCUUAUUUUAAUUCUUUUGUUUUUUCCUUCAUCUAGAUUAUUUAUAUAGAAGUUUAUUCGACCAUACCUUUUAUAAUAAUCUUUCCUCCUUAUGUAUGUCCUGGGAUAUUUGCAGAAGCAGAAAAUUACUUGAUUUUUGCUCACCCCUGCUGUUGAUAAUUAUCAUCUGGCUAAUAGAAGGUGAAAAUCUCCUCUUUAAUACCCAGUUGAUAUUCCAAAGAACUUGUAAUAGAAUUCUAAGAGUGCAAGAUUACUUUUUUUUUUAGUUUCACUAUCAUAUGAUCUAUAAAUAAGUCAAAAUCAAUCAGUUAUUGCAGUUCUUUCCUCAUUACCAAUAAGUGGGACCAAGUUCUUUCUCACUUAAGGCUUGUUUGCCUCCACUUUUGCCUUCAAUCCUAGUUCCCAUACCAAGCCUUAGAUCUCAUUAGUAACCCUGAAAUCAAAAGUUUAAAAAUGACCACGCAAAAGGAUUUUUGAUCUUGAUUAGCUUUGCUCUUUUCUUCCCUCAUUGUCUUUCUC